rnacentral:lncRNA from 1 species
GAUUCGAUGUCCCGGUACCCAAGUCAUCUAACUCAGAGGAGGAUCUCCCUGAAGAUUACCCCGUGGUAAAAAACAUGCUUCACAGACUGACAGCUGACCUGACGCUCGACCCUCGCACUGCACAUCGUGAUCUGCUCAUCUCCUCUGACUACCGCGGCGUGAGUCUGGCUCCACCCGGAACGCCUGUGCCGCUGGACAGCCCCGAGCGCUUCGAUCGGCUCCGGGCUGUGUUGGGUGCGCAGGGCUUCGCGUCAGGUCGCCACUGCUGGGAGGUGGAGACCGCGGAAGGCGCGUGCUUCAGAGACUCUCUGGCGAAGGAUGAGGACGCAGGAGAGAGCUGCUACGCUGUGGGCGCUGCGGGGGAGUCCGUGACGCGCAAGGGCCUCAUCAAGCUGUGCCCAUCCGAGGCUAUAUGGGCCGUGGAGGGCCGCGGCGGCCG